rnacentral:lncRNA from 1 species
GUAUUUGCCGCAAAUGCUGCCCCGUAUAUAGAGUAUUAUAGAUAUGCAAAAGUUAAACAUACGUAUAGAUAGACGUACAGUAUAUGUAAAGAGACAUGUGGUGUACACGUGAGUCAUCUGUCUUUCGAUCUCCAACAGCUCCGUAUUUGGUGACACCAACUAUUUUGCGAGAAAAAACAAAAAAAAAAAGCUUGUAUAGUACACUCUACACUCUACACACACAAGAAUAUAAUCCACAAAUAUUCCCUGCAUUGUUUUUCAUAUAUAAUUAAUAAGUAGUUAGAUAAUCAGAUAAAUUGGCUGCUUUGUUUCCUUGAUUGGUACAUGAUGAUAUGUAAU